GUGCUUGCUUCGGCAGCACAUAUACUAAAAUUGGAACGACAAGAGAAGAUUAGCAUGGCCCCUGCACAAGGAUGACACACAAAUUUGUAAAGCGUUCCAUAUUUUU
rnacentral:snRNA from 1 species